GACGAACGCUGGCGGCGCGCCUAACACAUGCAAGUCGAACGGAGCUGAGAGAAGCUUGCUUUUCUUAGCUUAGUGGCGAACGGGUGAGUAACGCGUGAGUAACCUGCCCUGGAGUGGGGGACAACAGUUGGAAACGACUGCUAAUACCGCAUAAGCCCACGAUCCGGCAUCGGAUUGAGGGAAAAGGAUUUAUUCGCUUCAGGAUGGACUCGCGUCCAAUUAGCUAGUUGGUGAGGUAACGGCCCACCAAGGCGACGAUUGGUAGCCGGACUGAGAGGUUGAACGGCCACAUUGGGACUGAGACACGGCCCAGACUCCUACGGGAGGCAGCAGUGGGGGAUAUUGCACAAUGGGGGAAACCCUGAUGCAGCGACGCCGCGUGGAGGAAGAAGGGUUUCGGAUUGUAAACUCCUGUCGUUAGGGACGAUAAUGACGGUACCUAACAAGAAAGCACCGGCUAACUACGUG
rnacentral:rRNA from 1 species